ACUUUCUCGAAUGGCUUCUUUCUUACCUCUUUCAAACCUCUCCCUUACCCUUUCAAAUCAUUAGUAAGUUAUUUCUUCUACUUUUUAUUGAUGUCGAAAUAAAAAAUGUGUGUGGAAGGAAGGAUUUGAUUUUCAACCUUACUCAUCUGAGACCUUCCUUCCCACUUUCUUAAUUUAUUAUUUGUAAUUGCAAAUAUUCUACUAUUCUAUUGUCCCUAACAACUAUCAAUGAGAUUUGUUCAUGUGUCCUCUUUUCAAAUAACUAUUUCCUUUUUUUUUUUUUUUUAAGAUUUAGGUUUUGUAGUUUUUAUUAUGUCAAAUUAGGCAAAUUCCACUGUUACCGAUGCUUGAAAACGGUUCAAAACUAGUCUAUGGUAGAUUAUGUGUUGAGUGAGUCUGUAUGCAUGGACAGUUAUGAAAAUGAUGAUUAUAGCAGGUACUUCUGAUAUAUGGCUUGGCACAUCUAGUGGUUUUUCUUUUGGUGUAGCUUACUGUAUUGUAGCUGUGCUGGGAAUCUGGAUUGUGUCUGCAGCAUGAUUAUAUAAAUAAUUACUGCUAACUGAUUUGUACACUGUCCAAUUUAUUGCUGAUAUAAUUAAUACAUAUGCAAUGAAGAAUUAUGCUAGUUUAGUUGCUGCUUUUGAUAUAUCCAUAGUAUGAGUAUUGGAAUCAUUCAUAUGCAAAUUUGUAAAAAGUCUUGCUAUAAGGUGGGAAAUGCUUUUCAUCGUAAGACCAUUUUAUCACAAAUAAUGGAGUAAAUAGUGAUUUUGCCAUUUUGGUCUUUAAAGCUGUGUUGUUGUUACAAUAGUCCUUUAAAACAUACCUAUAUAUGUCAUUUACUAGUCAGUUUAAUCCUCAAAUGUGUCUUUUCUUGAUUAGUUAAGUCCUCAAAUGUAUUUUUCGUUAGUUAAUUUUGUCUAUAAAAUUUCUAACAAAAUAGACACUUGGGGAUAUGUUUGUAAUUCCAAUAUUUAGAGACUACAGUGAUGCAACAGCUAAACCGAAUUUGUCUUGAAUAUACUCUAAUAAAAUAUUGAUAUUGAUGUUUUAUGAUCCUAUUUAGUGGGAUUAACUGUGAUUGUAUUUAUUGAUGUUGUUAUUUGAUCUUAAGGCUUUGAGUUUUGCUGGCCCUUUUGCAUAAUUUUCUAGUGCAACUAAUUUAACUUCCUAAGAACUUUUUAGCAAAGUUUUCCACCAUCAAGAACACAGAGCAAUGUAUUCACAUUAUGUAUCUGAUUCAAUCCAGAGUAGUAUAUGAGUGUGUGUGAUUUCAUUUUAUUUUCAUUACCUUGCCAUGUGAUUGAAAUUGAAGCUUAGCUUUUGGAGUAUAUGUUCUAAGGGGAGAAAUCUAGGAUUAAGAAGCUCAAGAGAUGAUAGCGAAAACUUUGUUGUUCUUCUAAAUUGUGUAUCUGUAAUGAACCUUCCUUUGGCAAGGAGAAAAAGAAAGGAUCAAUGUGAUGUUUCGGAGUUUCAUUUUUGAUCAUUUCAUUGAGCAUAGUUUCUUCCGGUUCUUGUUUUUGUAGCUUGAUCUCUACCAUCAUAUUUACUGCCUUUGUUUGAAGAAAUUUGAGAGAAUGAGAGGACGUUGGAAUGGAGCAACUCAUUAUGGCCAGAACCGAAAAAUUAAGACAGGAAAAUCUUGCCACAGGGAAGAUGUACAUGAACUUUUUUCUCGUUGAAUAUGGUUGAAUACUGUUGAUGUUUAUGUAUUAAAGAUUCUUUGAUGAAGCUAUAUUAAUAUUUUAGACAA